GGAGGCGGUUCGUCGGUGUGCGAUGGAGUCGCUGGACGGUUGGAUCUGGCGGCGGAAGGGCGAGACGUGGGAGGGGUGGAGCUUGGGACUCCGAGGCGGGAAGGCGGUGGAGGAGUGGCGAAUUGAGAAGGGGUGGAGGAUCUUGCUCGGCGGCGGCUGCGGAGGGAGGAGGGGGAGGAGUAGGUGUUGCCGAUUGGGCUUGAAGCGUUUUCGCCGGGAGAAGAAGGACCUGCGGGUGUAGUGAGAGUAAACAAAAUUACGAAACGGUUUCAGACAUAGAGAGAUGAGAGAUGAGAGAUAGAGAGGGGAGUACCGUCGUUGGUGUUGGCGGGAGGAGAGUCGGAAGCCAUCGCUGAUUUGAGACUUUUGAGUGAGAGAGACGGAGGGGCGUGAAAUGAGGUUUCGGCGCUUUUUAGUGACGUUUAGGCGGGUACUUCACUUGAUUUUGGCGCCAUUAUCACUAUGGGCUUUCUAAAUGGGCUUCUAACUCGGCCUAUUAUUAACUUUGAUCCUAACUACAUUCUUUAGAUAACUUUUGGAUUAACUAAUCUUUACUCUAUUUGGUGAUCACGCGAAAUUAUUGUUGUUUCUUUAAUCUUAAAGUUUUGAUCGAAGGUUUUUCUUAAUUUAAUUAUUUAAUUGGCUGCUCCAUCAAUUGCUAAAGCCUUCUUCUGUUUCUUGGUUUAGGUGGGACUCCACUUGAUUUUGGCGCCACUAUUUUAAUGGGCCUAAGUUGAGCCUAUUAUCCAUUUUUAACUCUUAGUCAUAAUAACGAUGGUCACAUGCCUGCAGCGUUGCUGAGAGCAUGCAUGCAGUAGUUAUUAGUCUAUUAUCAUGUAGUACCUUUCUAAUAAUACAAAACAUUAUAGGAAGGAAUGAUUCGUUACUAAAUCAUUUGAUUUUGACCACAUAAAAUGUGCCAAGUUAGCAUAACUCUCCAAGCAAACACUUUUGUGAAUAACAUACCAAACAAAUCCGUUUGAAAUUCUUCAAAAAUCAUUUUCCCAAAACGGUCCUCGAUCUUGAUUCAAUCAAAUGCUAAAAGCUAACUGUUCUUGAUUUUGAUUCUUUCUGCUAAGUAAGAGAUCAUCAUCAUAAACGAUGAUUUCAAUUCACAGAAAAGUAGACUUAACCAACUAAAAGCAUCAAAGAUUAGUAGUAAUCAUCCAAUUCCACUCUUAUCCGAAUCAAAAAAGCAAAUCCAAGUACCAUUGUUUACAAAGAUGAUCGAUCAUCCAAGAAAUGACCUAACACAAUGUUCAAGAUAAAUCGAAAACAUCAUCAGAUUCAGCAUGCACCUGAAUCAGAAGCGGAGCCCACGCUUGCAGUGGAUGCUACCACGUUUAGCGAACGCUCUCUUCUCAACUUUCCUAAUCCUGUCUCCCUUGCUCACGCUUCUUGGUGCCACCUCAUCAUCAUCCGCUUCGUCGCAUUCAUCAUCGCUGUAAUCUCCGUACUUGAUUCCAACAGAAUAGCCGCUAAGAAUCACCAUCCUCCCGCCGAGCGAACCACCACGGUGAUCAUCAGCGGGCUUCGCGUCGAGUUCAUCAACGAAAGCUUCCAUGAGCGUCGGCGGCGGAAUGAAGUUUCGGUUCGCCAUUUGUCUCUCGAUCGUUCUUGCGGUUUUGGAUUGGAGACGCUUUGUUCACCGAAGGAGGAGAGGAGGUGGAAGUUAGCUUUUAUUCUGAAGACGCAGCUCGUCUCAUGUGAUUUUAUACUCGAUAAUCUUUUCUUGAUGCUCCCUUGGUUUUUGUUUCUUUUUACAGUAAUUUCAACAAAUAUUUAAAUAAUUUGUGUCAUCAAAUUUGAAUACAGUUUACUUAAAUUUCAGUGCGUCAAAGCACCAUUAUCCAAAGAAACCCAUUAGUGUUUCUUAACGAUUAUUUUAGUAUAUAAAUGUAGUUAAGUGGGUUUAAGAACCCUCCGAUUUUGUGUCUCCAAUGGUAGUUUCUUAACUAAAGGUUCUUAAAAAAAUGAAACUUUUUUUUAAGAUUAAUUUUUUUUUAAUUAAAUAAAACAUAUUGAAAGAUAACAUUUUAAAAAUAGAUUUUAAAAUAAAAACAUAAAAACAAAGACUAGUAAAAUAAACGAUAAUAAUUUGAAAUAAGCAUCCGAGCUCAGUUGUUGUCUGUAUCACGUUCAAAUUUACGCCAUAUAUGUUCAACCAAAUCAAGGAAGGGCGAGACGUGGGAGGGGUGGAGCUUGGGACUCCGAGGCGGGAAGGCGGUGGAGGAGUGGCGAAUUGAGAAGGGGUGGAGGAUCUUGCUCGGCGGCGGCUGCGGAGGGAGGAGGGGGAGGAGUAGGUGUUGCCGAUUGGGCUUGAAGCGUUUUCGCCGGGAGAAGAAGGACCUGCGGGUGUAGUGAGAGUAAACAAAAUUACGAAACGG
rnacentral:lncRNA from 1 species